CAGCCAGCCAGCCAGACAAACCCCACAGCAAACAGCACAACAUAACCGCAAUACCUUGAAAUAAUACAUCAGGUGGACACAUGCAGUACAAUACAGCAUCCUUCUAUCCCAUCCAACACUCACCCAGUCAGUAAACAACACUCCAGCACACACUGACACCCUCCCAUUGUGAUCUCCGUGACGCCAAUGCUGAUUAAACGGUUGUACUACUGAAUAGAAACUUAAUCACUUCCUACCUCCUGCUCCUUGUGUGUGUGGCCAGGUGAGGCGAGGAGGGAGGAGGGAGAGGACAGGUGAGCGGGAGGCAAGUUUAUCUCCACGAGGGAGGCUGGAUGAACACCUGCCUCGGUUAGAUAAAUGGGUGAUAGUGGGGGAAGGAGUGUUUGUAGAAGAGGAUGCACUAAGGAGGAGGAGGAGGAGGAGGAGGAGGAGGAGGAGGUUUUGAGUAUAUUUAUUUUAGCACAUCUUUUGAUCUCUUUUCUUAUUCCAGUAUUAAUAAAGACUUGCUACAUUUACCUUAUAAGUCUGCUGUCAUUUAUAACUUCUUUUAUCACGGAAAUGUUUUUAUAUGAAGUCUAUUAUUAUUAUUAUUAUUAUUAUUAUUAUUAUUAUUAUUAUUACUAUUACUAUUAUUAUCUUGACCUCAACCCACGACUAUAAUUUUAAGCUAUUCCUAGUGUGUGUGUGUGUGUGUGUGUGUGUGUGUGUGUGUGUGUGUGAUAUAGUGCCCCCACAGCCAGGCGUGUGGUCAAGCUGUGUCACCGAAGAGUAAUGACGCCGUGGUCUUGCCGCAGAAUAUAUAGCUGUGCCCCAUGGUCCGCCGAUGCAAUUCUCUCUCUCUCUCUCUCUCUCUCUCUCUCUCUCUCUCUCUCUCUCUCUCUCUCUCUCUCUCUCUCUCUCUCUCACGCGCGCGCACGCGCUGGUCUGGUCGAUGGAUAUUUGCUCGUGGUGAAGUGCGCGAUUAAUCAGCUGCAAAAUUAAUAAACCCUUCCAAAACGGAGCUUCGUGCAAUUAAACAGUAAUUUUUUUCUCGCUCUAACGUCACGACUACUAAACACGCCUGCACGGGUUGUGUGUAAUGGCGAGGGGCACGCCCGCCUACAGAGCUGCUGCAUCAUUACUCAAGCUAAUUACUUUGUUGCCGGGGCAUUAAUAAUGAUAAGCAUCAACUGUGAUAUUACAAGGAUUACUCCUUUCCGCAUGAAACCUAAUUGUCCAUUACAGUCAUGCAUCAGUUCAGACACAGGGAAGGAGGGAAGGGGAGGGAGGAAAGGGGCGGGAUGAAACAGGAGAGUAGGCUAGGGAGGGGGAGUGUUCAGCCGACGGGCCAGGUGGUGGCAACACGUGUGGUGAGCCUCUCAGCCCAUCGCCGGACCCACCCACCUUGCCGCACACCUGGCGAGCACCGGUCAUUGUUGGAUCUCAGGUGGUGAAAGAGAGAGAGAGAGAGAGAGAGAGAAAAAAAAUAAAGAAAAGUGAGAUGACGAGGGAGUGAGGCGCCGCCAAGCAACACGAACACAGACUGCCUCCACCUGUCACGUGUGAAAAUUAUUACCCGUAUCGCCUGCAACGAUAAUUUACUGGGUGCGGCCGGAUGCACACGGGUGACGAUGAUUUAGGUGUGGAUCGCGCGACGGCGAGGCGUGAAGGUGUAGCACUUGGCAUUAGUGCAGGCACGGAGCAAAGGGCACGGCACGGCACAGCCCGGCACCAAGCACUGCCGGUGACAGCACUAAUGCUGUCAUCAGUGUGGCCGCGUGCUGGCAUCCCACAGCAGCACCACUAGUGCAGGUGGGCGGCAAGCAUGACGGACACGCCCAUGUUAAAGAUGGAAACCAAACUACAUACUACUUCCGGACACCACUCCAGCCUUGCGUGAGCGGCGCGGCCUAGGGCGGCCUAUCCCUGACCCAAACCCUGGUGGCCUGGCCUAGGCCGCCCCGCCAGCCGCCGCCUCGCACCACCAUGUGAUCGCCUCCAUUCAGCACAACAAAGGCUGCGCCACGUCUGGAAGGUGAACGAAGGAACCCAUGGGAACGGCCCUCGCCGCGCGGCGCCGCUGUAACAUGGACAACCGACCACACCGGCCAGUUGUGACCGCAAACACAAUCCUGGCUGCAAUUACCUCAGGGCGGAGAGGGGUUCCAACAGUUUAGGACCUGAAUCAGAAGGGAGGCAGGGAGUGCGUGCCGAUGUAAACAAUAUGAAGAUGAAGCGACGAGCCAUACCGGACCGGUCUGGCGUGCCCGAAUAUAGACAGGGUAGCCACGGCGGCCGACGACACCGACAUCACUCCCACCGCGAGCACCUCCUGCGUCCCCGCCAGCCGCCAGCCUGCUAAUGACACUCGGCGACGCCACCCCUUAUACACCCACGCCCGCGCCGCCACGACACGACUAACAUCAUCUGAGAGAGAGAGAGAGAGAGAGAGAGAGAGAGAGAGAGAGAGAGAGAGAGAGAGAGAGAGAGAGAGAGAGAGAGAGAGAGAGAAAGCGUGUGUAGUACAUAAAUGGUGGUUAACGACACCAAACACUACUGGUAGCAGAAGACAAGGGCGAGACAGACAGACGGACGCCUCCCUGGUGGGGGUGGUGGCGUCAUUCCUGGAUCCAUUCCGGGCCCGCGCCGCCAACGAAGUGAUGUGAGGUAAAGCAGCACACUGACAGACAAAUUCGGCGAGGCUACAGGUGGUGGUGGUGGUGGUGGUGGUGGUGCCUUGGGGACUUGUUUGGUGGGCGAGCCGGGCACUUCACCCCUCCCCUCACAACACACAGGAGAAGGAGCCGGGCUGUUAUCGCGAUGCCAUUAACAUAACCAUGAAUGAUGACGCGGCCUAACCCACAGCCACUAAUCCUUUAAACGCUAACCACUACAUGAACCCCACCUGAUAAAAUUCAUAAUACCAGGUUUUUGGAAAUAUUUUUUUUUCUGGCCUAGUCACCACAACACUCUCUUGCGCAAAUAGAGUGAAGGCAAAAAAAUAGCCGGUAUAUGAAUACUAACGGGGUAAAAAGACCAGAGUAAAAACAGAAAAUGUUGAGUGGCGUGUUGCAUCAUUUUUUUUUUACCUGGCGCAGCGAAUCUGAACAGGUAUCAUAUUCUUUUAACAAGAUUUUUUUUUACAGCCAGCAACGUGGAUUUGAUAGCCGCUGUACGCACGCCCAUAAGCGACAAGGCUGCUGGUUUGUUGAGCAGACGUGAAAUAAACGUGUAUAUCAGUCUAGUAAAUCUCCUUUGGUGUAGGUAGUUAGUGGCUUUAAACUGACACACACACACACACACACACACACACACACACACACACACACACACACACACACACA